rnacentral:rRNA from 1 species
GUCCUUUUGAUAUUAAUUUAAGGUCUGGCCUGCCCACUGAUAAUUUGAAUGGCCGUGGUAUUUUGACCGUGCUAAGGUAGCAUAAUCAUUAGUUUUUUAAUUAAAAACUGGAAUGAAGGGUUAGAUAAGAAAAUAACUGUCUCUUUUUAAAUUUAUUAGAAUUUUAUUUUUAAGUUAAAAAGCUUAAUUGUAAUUAAAAGACGAGAAGACCCUAUAGAGUUUAAUUAUUUAAUAUUUUUUUAUAUUUUGGAAUUGAUAUAUUAAUUUUAUUUAAUAAUUUGAUUGGGGUGAUUGAAAAAUUUAAAUAACUUUUUUUGUAUAAAAACAUUUUAUAUGAUUAAUUGAUCCAAUUAUUUUGAUUAUAAGAUUAAAUUACCUUAGGGAUAACAGCGUAAUUUUUUUAGAAAGUUCUUAUUGAAAAAAAAGAUUGCGACCUCGAUGUUGGAUUAAAAUUAAUUUUUGGUGUAGAAGCUAAAAUAUUAGGUCUGUUCGACCUUUAAAAUUUUAC